rnacentral:snRNA from 1 species
AGCUUUUCAGAGUGGCAGUAUCAUAGUCAAUGAAGAUUAUCCGAGGCACAAUUAUUGCUAAUUGGACAUAGAAACCACCUUCACUCUUACAUAUAAAAAUUACUGACGGCCGGGCGCGGU